AUGUGGCCCAUUGACGCACAAUGGAUUCUUUCAGUUCCACCCCGCAACGACAUGCCAGAUUUUAUUGCUUGAAAUUAUACAAAGAAUGGUCUGUUCUUGGUUCGGUCCGCUUAUUCUAUGGAGUGGAGUUAUCAGUAUGGAAGUAAGCUAAGACAUUCUAAUGGGAUGGGACAAACCACAGUUAAACCUAUUUGGAGUAAAAUAUGGAAAUUGUCCUAUCCAGCAAAAGUAAAAAAAUGACGUAUGCUACAUGGUACGCUUCCAUGUUGGACUACGCUCGCUAAUAGACAUAUGAAGGUUUCACUCAUCACCUGUUCCGAGGGUGUAGAAGACACAAAGCACAUGUUUUCUCUGUGCAGUAAAGCAAAUGAAGUUUGGAGAAAGCUGGGGAUGAAUGAUAUUAUCAAUAGGGCUUGUGAGGUUGACCAUGCUGGAGAGGUGGUGUUGUAGUACCUACUUCUUCUUCCAGACCAAGAAUUGUGUAUAAUGGGUAACCACAAUGUGCAUGAAAUGAUUGUUGUUUCAGCUUGGUAUCCAUGGUAGGAAAGACGGAAAUUAGUGCACAAGGAGAUAACUCAGAAUGCACUUUAG
rnacentral:rRNA from 1 species